UCUGCUCUUCUCUUCUCCUGUAGACAUGCAGGGAGGAAUCCUUGCUGCUGCUCGGGACAAAGCAGUCGUGGAGCUUCCUCCUCCUCGUCCUGCUAUGGCUGCAGCAAAAUAGGAAGUCCAGCGACGACAGUUUAAAGCAGAUGGGGAACAACGAGGCUACCACGCAGCUGUACGGCGGCCUGAUAAGGAGAUGAUUAAUAGCUCAAUUUACAGAUGAUUUUCCAUCUCAGUCCAUGCUAGUCGAAUUUCAUUAUUUGGAUUUCAGAGCAGCCACUUACUGAAAGCAUAAUAAGGAUCUCACGAGGAGGUGGGAGAAGGGACGCCAACAAUUGCUGCAGAUUCAGAAGAUAUAUGGAUGAUUAUAUGGGUGCGUGGAAAGUAUACUGCAAUGAUGAUGAAGAUGAUGAUGAUGAUGAUCCAGUUCAUGAUGAUGAUGAUGGAUGCCUUCAGUUUUGGUUAAGUUGUAGGGAUGUUGUUCCUGUUGGAUGAUGUUAUUCAGUUAAGUUUUAGUGAAGUUGUAGGGAUAUCAACAAAAUAUUUAGAUUAUGCAUCACAUUGGGAUGAUGUUCCUCAUGUAAUAUCCACUAU